rnacentral:tRNA from 1 species
UAUUUUAUAGUUUAUAAAGAACAGUAAAUUGCAAAUUUAAAAGAAAAUAAAAAUUUAAAAUUU